AGCCUGCGGGCCUCCCCCGGGUGUGCCUAGCGUGCCUGGGGUGGAGCUCGCCCUGGCACCAGCCUGACACCGCAACUGCACAGGAAUGGUGUAAAUAACACUAAGCAUUACUUUACCUGUGGUCACUUUGCAUGCACCUCCCAUACAAUCCAUCUUCUCUCUUGCAAUGUCGUCAUCAUCAUCCUCUUCAUCCUCACCAUCACCACCACCAAGGCGACCUGGUAGACCCACCAUAUAUUCCCCAUUAGAAAAAAAGAGGAGGAGAAAGAGUCUAGAGAGAAAAAGGGCUCAAUCGAGGAUAUGUAUAAGAGAACAAAUAGGACGAUGGAUGUCACUUAGGGAAACGCUUAAUGUCUUCUCACAUGCUGAAGUUGCCAAGUUUUUGCUGGACUUAUAUGACAAUUAUGAAAACCGAGAUGUGUGCAAGGAAUCAGAAGUGAAAAUACAGGAAGCGGAUGGAAACUCAACAUUAAAUGCAGAAAAGGAUGUGCCAGAGAUCUCUCUAAUAGCAGGCACUGAAAGAUUGCUAUGUGAAAAUUUAGAGGAUGAAUCUACAGAAAGUUCAGGGGAAGAGUGUACUAUUGAUAAUGAAUAUGACCUUUCUAAAAGUUUUUCUUCAGUUAAACACUUGAAAAAUGUGUCUAUAGCAGAGGAUAUAUUGGGUAUUACAGAUGAAUGUGAUGAUGGGUCACAAGGUGACUUUAUAGAAACCUUUGAGGAGACAACUCAUGAUAUGACUUUGGAUGACACCCAGGAUAUUUCUCAUGAAAAAAUUCACAUUGUUUAUGAACAAUCCCUUCUUCAACUAGCCAAAAAAAUUGUUAUACCAAAAUGUAUGUAUUGUGCUGGUGAAGUUGAUAUUUCUGUACAGCCUGUUUCCUCCUGUGUGCAUUUGAUAUGGAAAUGUAGUGCAGGACAUAUAGCAUUUGAAUGGUCUUCUCAACCCUUGGUAAAAGGACAGACCCAUGCAGGAGACCUUGCUUUAUCUGCUGCAAUCAUACUGUCAGGAAACAAUUUUGGAAAAAUUUCACAAAUGGCAAACUUUAUGAAGCUGACAUUCAUAAGUGCAAGUACGUUCUUCAGAAUGCAACGUCACUUUAUUGUCCCAACUAUAGAAUCCUUCUGGUGUCGAAUGAAGCAACACAUUUUAGAGGAACUACAUGGGAAGGAAGUAGUCCUUAUGGGAGAUGGACGCAUGGAUGGCCCUGGCCACUCUGCACAGUAUUGUGUAUACUCAUUCAUGGAUUUAGAAACUAAACAAAUUUUAGCUAUUGAAAUAGUGGAUAAACGCAAAACGCAACUGAACUCCCCAUUUAUGGAGAAGGAAGCCUUUAGAAGAGGAUUACAAAAAUUGUUGGAUGAACAGCUAAUAGUCAAAGAAGUGGUUACUGAUUCACACACUCAGAUCUCUGCUUUGAUAACAAAGAAAUUUCCCUGUAUAAUCCAUUCAUAUGACAUAUGGUGUGGUGCCAAAAAUCUUGGAAAUAAAUUAAUUGAGGCUAGCAGACAGAAAGAUUGUCGCCGUCUUUUACAAUGGUGUUCAGAUAUUGUCAAUUAUUUCUGGUUUUGCUGCAAGGAAGCAAAUUCAUAUGAAAAAUUUAUUGGAAUGUGGUGUGGCUUAGUUCAUCAUGUGGUCAAUGAACAUCAGUGGGCUAGUGGAAACGGCAUCAUUGAGGGACGGUGCAAACAUGGUCCUCAAAUGGAUGAAAGAGAAAAGGAAUGGCUAGAAAAGGGAAGCAAACCUCACACUGAAAUGUGCAGAAUAAUUUUGGAUAAAAAGUUUCUGAGAAACAUCCCAUACUUUCUACAGUUUAGAUCCACAUUUGAUCUGGAACAGUUUCAGCAGCAUGUGCAUAUGUAUGCUCCCAAAAGAUUUGAAUACACCUAUACAGUGUACAGAGCAAGAUGUUUUUUGGCUGCUAUUGAUUACAAUAUGCAUUUGAACCGGCAAACCAUGCACAAUCAACAGAAUCAGUUAAUAUACCGUAGAAUUUAUCACAGGAAAUCUGGGAGAUGGACCUUGGUACCCAAGAAAGAAAAUAAGCAUUAUGUAUAUACUGAUGACAUAAUGGAGGAGAUAUUUCAACGCCGUUUGGGGAUGUAGCAAGAGGUCCUGAAAGCAAAACCUCUGAAACCAAAUAUUUCAAGACUGAUUGCAAAAUGAAUUAUACUAAUUAGCCUUCUUUCACAAUUAAAAAAAAAAAAACUUCUCCAGGCUUAUAUUUAUUGGAAUUACCUAUGGUGUUAUUCUACUGGUGGGAAGCUGAGAAAGGAGUUAAGGGGCUUGUCCAAGGUCACAGAGGGACUUGGUGUCAGAACUGGAGCAGUCUGGAAUGUAUACCUCUUCUCUAAUGUGGCAGUUUCUCAAGAUUUAAAUUCUCUGUUUUAAGUACUUCAUUUUAUAUGUCUCUAAAAAUGUGAUCUGCCUCUGUACAUAGAUGACAUUAAUUUUAUCAUAAUGUGACUUAUUUAAGUUUUUAAAAUUACUUAUGCAGGGCGCUGGAGAGAGAUGCACAGGUAGCACGUUUCUCAUUUUGAUUUUUCUAUGAGCUAGUGCUGCACUAAUAUGAGGGUGACCCCUUUCAUAAAUUUUAGUACAUGUACACACAUACUUAACAUAUUUUCUGUAUAUGAAACAUGUUCUUUCCAGAUGAGUUUUGAGUCUGAUUGUAUGGUCAGCCUAGAAAGGGUGUAUUUUUUGGGCUUAACUGGGGCCCAUGGGAGCUUUGAAAUGUCAUGUUUGGCAGGGCUGUGGCAAUUUGAGAGAUCUGUACAAAUAAGUGUCCUCAAGACUUUAGAGUAACAAAAAAAACCUCCUUGCAGAACUGAAAGUCUUUCUUUUUUUACCUCCCUUUGACUAAUAUUUUAAUCUACCUGAGUCGUCUUGGUACCAUGCCAGAAAUCCUGUAUGAAAGUAUUAUUUAACACAAAAAUAAUUUAAAAAUUAAGUCCAUGCAAAUGAUAAUAUUUAUAGUGGGGAUAAUUAAUUGAUAGAAUCAUAAAAAUAAAAAAGCCCCACUCCUGCAGUUCACUUUACAAGGUUACUCUGUUAUGUCCAUUGGUUUCAAAACUGUGAAUAUGAUUGCCAUCCUUGCUCUGUAUUUUCAGAGGCACAAGUACCAAGGUGCAGUUUCAACAACUGCUCCUAUUUUUUAUCCCAUUUUUUAAAGUUUUAUUUUGGUUAUAUUUUCUAUCCAACAAAAAUUUAGUAACAAAGGUGACACAGAUGCUCCAGACAUUUUUGCUGUACUGUAUUAUUGCUGUGUACUUUUUUUCUGUUAGUAUACUAUGUACUAUAUGUAACUAAGUGCUGAAUAUUAGAGCAGUUUAAAUACACACUUUUCAGCUGUUCAAUGGGGCAAACAAAGUUAAUUAACUUAGUCUGCAACAUGUUUAAAUAUUUAAAGUGCAGCUCUAAUCUGGAAAGUGAAUGAAAAUGGAAGCAUCUUACUCAACAGAUCUGCUCCCUGAAUGUAUUCAGGGUUUUAUUUGACUACUUUAAUGACAAAAAGUAAGUGUCCAUUACAUUUUAUUCCCAUUAUUCCAGCAGGGCCAACAUAACUAAGAAGGUAAAGGAGUUUGAACUAGGUUUCUCUUCCUUCUUGACAAUAGAAUUCUGUGCCAAGUUCCAGUCUGUUACACCAGUGCUACCCUAUUAGUGACAAUGUAGUUCAUUUACUGGUGAAAUAAAUGGUUUUGCACAGGUGUUACAGUUGCAAUAUUCUGGCCUAUAGAGUCCUUAUUACAGGUGCUGAUGCACAAAGGGCAGAGUGACUCUCAUUUGCAGGGCCAGUAGUUAGAAAAAACACUUUUUUUUAAAGCUUGUAAACAAAACACAUUUAAUGUGGAAAUAAUGGAGACAAAGUAGGUAUGGAAUCCUUUAAUGUCACUUUUACCCAACACUUUUCAGAAUAAAACCAUGCUUUAUAUAGAGAAGGAAAUUAGAGCAAAGCGUCUU